GCCUGCAUGAAGUUGGAAUCACUAGUAAUCGCGGAUCAGCAUGCCGCGGUGAAUGCGUUCUCGGGCCUUGUACACACCGCCCGUCACACCAUGAGAGUCGGGAACACCCGAAGUCCGUAGCCUAACCGCGAAGGGGGGCGCGGCCGAAGGUGGGCUCGAUAAUUGGGGUGAAGUCGUAACAAGGUAUC
rnacentral:rRNA from 1 species